rnacentral:rRNA from 1 species
UUGUGAGGUUAAGCGACUAAGCGUACACGGUGGAUGCCCUGGCAGUCAGAGGCGAUGAAGGACGUGCUAAUCUGCGAUAAGCGUCGGUGAGGUGAUAUGAACCGUUAUAACCGGCGAUUUCCGAAUGGGGAAACCCAGUGUGUUUCGACACACUAUCAUUAACUGAAUCCAUAGGUUAAUGAGGCGAACCGGGGGAACUGAAACAUCUAAGUACCCCGAGGAAAAGAAAUCAACCGAGAUUCCCCCAGUAGCGGCGAGCGAACGGGGAGGAGCCCAGAGCCUGAAUCAGUGUGUGUGUUA